CAUAACAAAAUAAUAAACUAAUCUAGCAUUAGGAGGCAUAAUGAAUACAUUUAAAAUCAUAAUAAAAGCUUCACAAUAAUACUGGUAAGUAAGAAACACCAUGGCAGGCAUCAAUUUAAAUGUAUGCCAGAAAUGUUUUUUAAGUUAAGAAAUGAAAAAUAAAAAUAUAAAAAUAUAAAAUAAUAAAUAUUAGUAGCCUAUUAUAAAUAAGUAAUUAAAUGUAAGUAUAAUAAAAAUAUAGCCUAAGUAUUCUUAAAAAAUAAGUUUAAAUAAUGCAAAUUGAUGACUUUAACAACCACAAAGACUAUCGAUCAAAAGCCCGGAUAGUUACAGAUUUGUGGACAGCUUUCCCUGCGCAUGAAAUCCCCCAUUCCAGCAAACCAGUGAAAAUGCAAGACAAUGAUGACGAUACAUAACAACAGAAUGUAGGCAGUGAGUGACAAAUUUGAAGAAAAUUACGGUUGCUUGGCAAAUAAAUAAAUGACGGACAGUUACUUACACAUUGCCGCUUUUUUUUUUUUUUUUUUUUUUACCUCAAACAAAGGAAUUUGUAGUAAACUAUUGUUAAUGUUAAAUAGAGAGUCCACAAAUUGCUUGGGUAUGCAGAGCAUUCUCAGCUUAUAUGGACUGCACGUCCCUGAUUUAUAAAUAUUUUUUUUUCUUGCCUUGUAAAUAUUUUGUGCACAAUUUUGGGAAUACUGGAUUACAAAAGACUGUCAAUAAACAUCACUGGACUUUUUGACACCACUGACUGUUAUCACCAUCACACCUCGUCACACUGCUUUACAGACCGAUCUGUUUUUCACACGUCUCUCAAACACAGAACCAGGAAACAGGAAACACAUGAGUUCAGAGAAACUGAAACUGAAGUGUAGUUGCGCUGUUGUGUGUUUGUGUCUCUGUCUUCAUGCAGUAAAAUGGCAGAAGCCAGAUUUUCUCAGGAUGAGUUCAUGUGUUCAGUGUGUCUGGAUCUCCUGAAGGAUCCAGUGACCAUCCACUGUGGACACAGUUACUGUAAGAUCUGCAUUACAGGCUGCUGGGAUCAGGAGGAUGAGAAGAGAGUCUACAGCUGUCCUCAGUGCAGACAGACCUUCAGUCCAAGACCUGCUUUAGGUAAAAACACCAUUCUAGCUGAAAUGGUGGAGAAACUGAAGAAGACUACACUUCCUGCUGACUGUUAUGCUGGAGCUGGAGACGUGCAGUGUGACGUCUGUACUGGAAGAAAACACAAGGCCGUCAGGUCCUGUCUGGUGUGUCUGAACUCCUACUGUCAGAAUCACCUUGAACAACAUGAGAGUUUCUUUAAAGGAAAGAGACACAAUCUGACUGAAGCCACUGGACGACUGCAGGAGAUGAUCUGCCCGAAACACGACAAGAUCCUUGAAGUUUUCUGCCGCACUGAUCAGAAGUGUAUAUGUGUGCUGUGUACUAUGGAUGAACAUAAAAACCACAACACUGUAUCAGUUGCUGCCCAGAGGACAGAGAAACAGAAGGAGCUGAAGGAGGCACAGAGGUCGUUCCAGCAGAGGAUUCAGCAGAGAGAGAAAGAUCUUCAACAGCUGAGAGAGGCUGUGGAGUCUCAUAAGCGCUCUGCACAGACAGCAGUGGAGGACAGUGAGAGGAUCUUCACUGAGCUCAUCCACUCCAUUGAGAGAAGCUGCUCUGAGGUCACACAGCUGAUCAGAGAUCAGGAACAGACUGCAGUGAGUCGAGCUGAAGGACGACUGGAGCGACUGGAGCAGGAGAUCAAUGAUCUGAGGAGGAGAGACGCUGAGCUGGAGCAGCUUUCACACACACAGGAUCACAUCCAAUUCCUGCAGUCACUUUCACCAACAUUGUUCACUGGACCAGGAACGACUUCCUACAAUUACAAUGUCAAGUGGAAACAAGCACAAACUAGAAGCUGCUCUUCUGCUCGGGAUGUAUUUGUUGAAGAGAUACAGAAAUGUAACACGGAGUCACAAACUCAGAAGCCUGAAGUCACAGGACGAUCUAAAGUGACCUGGUGGAAGAGGGACCGUGAUGGGCAUCGUGUGACCACCAGCAAACAGAGGAAAAAAGGUUCAUCUGCUGAUUUUAAUAUGCAGAGGCUUGAGGACCUUCUACAGGAUUCUGAGGGCACUGAUGGGCAAGAUUUUGCUCAGCAGCCACCAUUGUCCAGUUGGUGUCAAAGACAUAAAGAGGUCCAACAAUGUUGGCAACAGGCGAGGCCACAAAACCUUGCCAACUUGUUUUCAGCUGAGAACAUCGUCCAGAUGACAUGUAAUCACUGUCAUGUGAGAGAAAACAUCAUUUAUGUGUCCUUUUUACAAAAACAUAGUGUAGAUACAAUAAUAUGGUUAGUGUUAAAUGUAAGGUUAUUCAUAACACCAAAAGCUGGCUAUACCUUGAGUAUGCAAACUGUAGUUUUUCUGGGUGGAAGGUUGUGAAAAGGCAAUCUGCAGAAUAUAACGAUUUGCCUUUUGUAUGAUGGGUUAUACAGAUUUUCCCUGCAGCAAAAGCACCUCGCUGAAAAUAUUGAAUGUAAUAUGUAGCCCUACAGUGAAUCUGUGGUGCAACGAAUGAGGUGAUGUAAUCAUCUGUAACACUUCCCAGUGUGCAGUGAAGAAUUCACAAAGGGGGGUUGCACAUUUAAAGUGUGUUUAUUCUGCAAAACAGGAAUUAAUAGUUUUAGUUGCGGCUCUCGUGGUUAUCGCACACCAUCUUACGUCACAUCUUUAUCACAGCCUCAACUUCGGCCGCCACCUGCUGGCGAACUAUGAGACUAACAUUUCAACACUAUAUUUAACUACAAAUUAUAUUCUCUUUUAAGGCUUAUAUUCUUGGAGUGCAAUACUCAAUCAUUGCGCUACACAUCCUCCAGCUUUAUCACAGCCUCAACACAUCACAUAAACAUUAUCCAAAAAAAAAAUAUUUCCUGUUUCUUUUCCACGACUAAAUUUAAAUAUAAUAUAAUGAAACCAAGAUUUAUAAAUAAAUACUUUUCAUUUACAACAUACGUGCACUUAAUUUACUACAAUAGAACUUUAUUGUUGGCCACAUGGCACAACAUUUUUUGUUUCUUUGCACCAUCAAUGUAACAACGGUAUUUUUAGCAGACCUUCCUUUAUGACACAGUCAUUCCUAUGUUCUCCUGUGGUUCCCAAGGUGGGCGCCAGGCCUUUUGGCUGAAAGCAAUGGCAAAAUAAAACAUACAGAAAUUGUGUAUUUAAUUUCUGAAAUAUGUUAAAUAUAAGGAUAGCCUAGACAUGGUUUAUAAAUAAUAUAACAAAAGUUCUCCUUGCUCCUUUUCAAAAAACACUAUCUUCUUACUAGAGUUGGGAACCGAGAACCAGUUCUUAUCCAGAACCAGUAAAGUCAUCACAAUUUCAUAUACAUGAAAAUGUAUAGCACAUCAUGAAGAGGAGAAUCAGACAACAGUGAACACUGAGGAGGUUACCUCACCCCCAUCCUCCCCACAAACUACGCCCCUGGAAUACAUACACCCCUGUGUAUUAUCACAACAAUGUCAAAUUAGUUAAAAUUGUAUCAACUCUCACUAGUUGAUCCAGGAUGAAUCUUCACAUGGUCAUCCUGGAAUAUGGCCAUAAUGUGUCUUCCUACAUGGUUAUUUAAGAAAUGAAAAGCUACACACUCCAUCAAUUAGGGUUAGAAGAACAUAUAACAUAAUAAUAAUCACUGCAAUAAUGAUCCAAUCAUACUUUUUUAGUAGUUUCUAGUAGCUUUAGUAGUUCAGAUCACAUGAUCAUUCCUCCAGCAGUCUGCAUUCCACCGACAUUCCAUUAGAAUGUUUAACAGUGCUAAUUAAUUAUUCAUGAUUCUCUGUGGUGAUGUCACAGCCAGCACACUAUAUAAAUAAAGCUGCAGGAGUCCUUGAGCCCACAUUGUUCUGCAGUAGUGAUUUAAGAGCAAACUUCUACUCUACUCAGUGAUUGAUGAUAGAUUACAAUGGCUUGUAAUACUAGCGUUCAAUCAGACCAUCACAGAGAACUGGCCUUUACAGCCCAUUUAGCUGCAAAACUUGCUGUACCACAGCUGGAGGACGUCACUUUUCAAUCAGUCAUCUGCAACUUCAUGUGGAAUCUGACUGAGCAGUAUGUCUAUUUUUAUUAGUAAAAUCCUCUUAUAUUCUAGUGAUGAAACUCAUUUAAAAUAGUUGUUGUGUAAUUGUGUUAAUAUUAGAGUUUUUGGUUAUUUUGAUGGUCCCUUUUAGACAUUCUGUUGACUAAAAGUAAUGUUGCUCCUACAUGUCAACUACUAGUCAUUAGAAUAUUAGUUAACUAUUAGUAGACCUUUUAGGGUUAGGGUUAGUAGAUUAAGUUGACAUGUACUUGCAAAUGGGGGUAUUCAAAAUAAAGUGUUUUUAAGCAGACUGUCUGAAAAAUUUAUUCAAUAAUCAAUUAAUGAAUCACUUUUAUUAAAUAAUAAACAUUAAAAUAAGUUAUACAGACAUUUAAAUUGCACAUAAGGUAGUUUAUAUACCAACUUUUUAAUAACAAUUAUGUUUCUACUCCAAUUUGUUGGUUAACCCUUGUGCUGUAUUGAAAUCCCUAUAACACUUGUGGUGUUUCUGGACAAAAAUGACCGGCCUGAAAAAAAUUGCUUAUAAAUCUCUUGUUAUGCUACCUUAUCAUAAAAUAAUGGAUUAAUUUUUUUUGCCAACUUGUUUUCUUUAAAUUAGGACAGGUUUUGUAUUUAUCUUUUAAACUGAUUGAUCGUAGGCCUCACUGAUUUGAGGAUAAAAUUCAUCUCUGUGCAAAAGAAAGCCUGUAAUACUCAAAAUAGUCUGUGUAAAUGAACGUGUGUGUGUGUAUGUGCGCGAAUGCACGAGUACGCAUGUAUCCACACAUGCAGAGGUCCGGGACCUUUAUUUUUGUAAGCCCACAUGUACAUAUGUAAACAUGAACAUGAUGAACACGCUCCACAUUUUUGGGAAGUAGUUAGACUCUGGGUGAGCAAAGUCAGCAAAUUUUAGUCCAAUGCUAUAACAUUAACUAGCAUUUUCUGGCACGGGACAACACAACAUGAGGGUUAAAUAAUAUAACAUUUAAAUGAUGACUGUAAUAACUUCUUUUCAUGACAGAUUUAUUCAAACAUACAUUAAAUAAUGAAGACAACACUAACAUGAUAAGUAAAAUAUAGUGAAUAUGUAAUACAGUGGAUAUACUUAACAAAACGCCCCUCCCUAGAGUUAUUAUUUUUCUAGCUAACUAACGAGAUACAGACAUCAAAUGGCUUUCUAAGGUAAAUAAUGUUAAGCGACAUUUUUAAAAGCUGUUUUGAUGUCUUUCCCCAGUUGAAACUUUGCUUGAGCGAUUACACAAGACAUGAUACAAUUCAGUACAUUACACUGUUUCUUUAACAUACCUUCUGAUGUUUAUUUUUGUUUUUUCCGUGUUAUAAUCUUCAAACUUAAAGCUUUUCAAAGAUUUUUCAAACUUUCAGACUAGGCUUUGUCAAUCCAACAUCAAAGUUUGUCAUCAAAUUUUACUCAUAUUGUAUUAUAUUAACAGUUGUCUGUUUUUCAGGAAUUUGGAAGUGAUUCAGGCGGCAUUGAGCUACCCGUUCUCCAGACAGCAAAUCUAUCAAAUGCUGACUUCCAUUGCAACGUCAGCCGCCACAACUGCAACUGAUUUAAUGCCAAAACUAUCUGGAAUAGUGGGCAUGAAUCCAUCUGCAGUUGUGAACUCAAACAGACCAAUAACAUCAGAAAGACCAGCGAUCCUGAAGAUGGAACAGCUUCCAUAUGUGUAUCCACUUGAAUCCCUUUUUGGG